rnacentral:tRNA from 1 species
GGUGGGUUGGCUCAGUGGUUAGAGCUUAGCUCUCGUAACCGAAAGGUCGUGGGAUCGAACCCGCUAGAGGCUA